UACGUAGGGGGCUAGCGUUGUUCGGAAUUACUGGGCGUAAAGCGCACGUAGGCGGCUUUGUAAGUUAGAGGUGAAAGCCCGGGGCUCAACUCCGGAACUGCCUUUAAGACUGCAUCGCUUGAAUCCAGGAGAGGUGAGUGGAAUUCCGAGUGUAGAGGUGAAAUUCGUAGAUAUUCGGAAGAACACCAGUGGCGAAGGCGGCUCACUGGACUGGUAUUGACGCUGAGGUGCGAAAGCGUGGGGAGCAAACAGG
rnacentral:rRNA from 1 species